CGCCCUACGGGGGGCUGCAGUAAGGAAUAUUGGUCAAUGGACGCAAGUCUGAACCAGCCAUGCCGCGUGGAGGAUGAAGGUCCUCUGGAUUGUAAACUUCUUUUAUCUGGGACGAAACACUUCUUUUCUAAGAGGCCUGACGGUACCAGAUGAAUAAGCACCGGCUAACUCCGUGCCAGCAGCCGCGGUAAUACGGAGGGUGCAAGCGUUAUCCGGAUUCACUGGGUUUAAAGGGUGCGUAGGUGGGUAUGUAAGUCAGUGGUGAAAUCCCCGAGCUUAACUUGGGAACUGCCGUUGAUACUAUAUAUCUUGAAUGCCGUAGAGGUAAGCGGAAUAUGUCAUGUAGCGGUGAAAUGCUUAGAUAUGACAUAGAACACCAAUUGCGAAGGCAGCUUACUAUGCGGUUAUUGACACUGAGGCACGAAAGCGUGGGUAGCAAACAGGAUUAGAUACCCCAGUAGUCG
rnacentral:rRNA from 1 species